AGCAGCCGCGGUAAUUCCAGCUCCAAUAGCGUAUAUUAAAGUUGUUGCAGUUAAAAAGCUCGUAGUUGAAUUUCGGGGUUAGUAGGUUGGUCAUGCCUCUGGUAUGUACUGGUCUCACUGAUUCCUCCUUCCUGAUGAACCUUAAUGCCAUUAAUUUGGUGUUUUGGGGAAUUUGGACUGUUACUUUGAAAAAUUAGAGUGUUUAAAGCAAGCUAACGCUUGAAUACAUUAGCAUGGAAUAAUGAAAUAGGACGUUCGAUCCUAUUUUGUUGGUUUCUAGGAUUGACGUAAUGAUUAAUAGGGAUAGUUGGGGGCAUUAGUAUUCAAUUGUCAGAGGUGAAAUUCUUGGAUUUAUUGAAGACUAACUACUGCGAAAGCAUUUGCCAAGGAUGUUUUCAUUAAUCAAGAACGAAAGUUAGGGGAUCGAAGACGAUCAGAUACCGUCGUAGUCUUAACCAUAAACUAUGCCGACUAGGGAUCGGAUGAUGUUAAUUUUGUAAUGACUCAUUCGGCGCCUUAA
rnacentral:misc_RNA from 1 species